CGUGAAGUCAUUGUUGGUUAUACUGACACAGAUACGUAGAAUAGUAAAUCCUUACACGACUUCAACUAGCAGGACGAUGUCAGAAACCUCCUGGAGAUAUGGCGUGAUCUUUUGCAACACUUUCCUUAUUUUUGGAUUUUAUUACUCUAUGGUUAUUCCGACUGGUGUACAGAAUGAAAUUAUGGACAGCCCUCAUCCUCCUUCAGGAUCGAACAACACGAGUAACUGGACCAUCUGUAAAAUGUGUCUUGGUCUUGGAGAGGUCCGUUAC